rnacentral:pre_miRNA from 1 species
AGCGAGGUAUAGAGUUCCUACGUGCAAAUUGCAAUAGUCGUAGGAACUUAAUACCGUGCUCU